CUGCUCUCCGCCAGAGAACUACAAGUGAAAAACUUCAAACUCAAAGGACUUGGCGGUGUCCCAUAUCGACCUAGAGGAGCCUGUCCUAUAAUCGAUACUCCCCGGUCUACUUAACCUCAACUAGCACCCCAAAAGCUAUUUACCGGCGUCAACAGUCUACCCCAUGAGGGCCCAACAGUAGACACAAUAGCCUAACCGCUAGCACGUCAGGUCAAGGUGUAGCACAUGUUGAGGGAGAGAUGGGCUACAUUUUUUACAUUAAAAAACACGAAAUGCAACAUGAAACCCUGCAUGAAGGUGAAUUUAGUAGUUAGAUUCUAUGAGAGUAUUUAUCUUAACAACGCUCUGGGACGCGCACACACCGCCCGUCA
rnacentral:rRNA from 1 species